rnacentral:lncRNA from 1 species
AUGGAAAGAAAAAGUAAAAAAUAUGCCUGCAGGUCUGUGUACCAUUGCAGAGAUGAGUCUAGAGGGAUUUCAUCCAUCAAACAGAACAAUAAAAUGACUUUUGAUCUUUAUGAAAGUGGUGAAAGAGUGGAAAUAAAAAAAGGAAGGAAAAGGAGCAGCAUAGAAGACAGAGAAUCAAAGAAGCUGUGGCUGGAGCCUACUUCUGCCGACUGUGAAUGAAAACUGCAGUAUUCUCUGCUGCAAGUCCAUCUACUCUUGAGCCUUUAAAAAGAUCUAUCUAAUAGUUUGUUUCCCUUGGAGUUUCCAAUGACAUUUAUGAAGGUUUGAAAGCAGUAGAUAAGUAGCUCUUAUCACAUGCUGCCAAUAAGAGAGCUGGUUCAUCAAGGUAACAACUUUUGAUUUGAGAAUGGCCAGUUUUCGCUGAGAGUUGAGCAUAUGAAGGAAACUGGGGGAAAAUCCAGUGUUUUGCAGUGAUUUCUCUGAGCUCAAUAAGCACUGAAACGUGAUGCAGGAGAAAUCUGCACAAAUGAAGAAGUGCCCAUGAAGCUAUACUGUCUCUUCAGAGAUCCCAGUAGAAAAAAUUAUCCACACACAAAAAAAGAUACUUCUUUCUGUAGGAUUAUUUUAUUAGGACAAGAUUAGGUGGUGUUAGACAAGUAAACAGGUAUUUCUUAAAUGACUACACGUGUUUUAAUUGCCUGUUUGGCAUUGUCUUAGUAAUUGCAACAAACAGCACAAGAUUACAAAAAAUGAGCACCUGUCUACUCAGGAGAUAAGCUACCUUUAAAAAGAAAGAAAUAAAACACAUCCGUAAUUUCUAGGACCCAAAUUAAUUGAAAUGACCAUGAUAGUAGAAGCAUAAACACCUGAUGAGCUUUUGAGACACUUCUUUGGCAUGUUCUUAGUGACUCUGUGCUCUUAUUUUCAACCACAGUGUCUGCUCAUCCUAUUGCAGCGUCCUUCAAAC